UUAGGAUACAGACCUAGGACUAAGGAUCUUGAAAGUAGAAUGGACCUCCAGAGAUCAUGAGGUUUAGUCAUCUGCUUUCAGACUUAUGAAGAAUUAGGACCCUUCUAAGCCUUGCUGCCAAAAUUCCUUAGAAUUCACAGUCUUCCAUACUCUGCCCACACCUCAGCUUCCAUGCAGAAACAGCAUUCAGACAUCAAGCAGCACUGGCUGGGCGGCAGACGUUUCUUUGGACUUAUCAGGUUUGGAGGCCAGGAUACCCUGUGAUGUGGAUAGAUCACGUUGAAUUGACAGUGCAAUCCAAAUCAUGGGUUCAAGCUCCAAAUAGGUUGGUUUCACUAAGAUAAGGUUAAUUUUCUUCCAAAUCGUAGUAUACACUUCCACAAAAAAAA
rnacentral:lncRNA from 1 species